CUGACUGAGAUUGGGACGAUUUCUGCUCUUCAGCAUCCACAUCUUGUGAAACUCUAUGGAUGCUGCAUUGAAGGAAAUCAACUUUUGCUGGUUUACGAGUACAUGGAAAAUAACAGUCUUGCUCGCGCUUUAUUUGGUAAUUUGAUAUCACAUUGUGCUUCAUUGACUUCAUUUAAUGACAUGGCAGUAAAGCAGCUUUGAUGUCUUCUGAUACAAUUGAAGGUCCUAAAGAAUUUCAGUUAAAGUUAGAUUGGUGGACAAGACACAAGAUAUGCGUGGGUAUUGCCAGGGGAUUGGCAUAUCUUCAUG
rnacentral:lncRNA from 1 species